rnacentral:rRNA from 1 species
CGCGGGUGACUAGCUACUGAAUCAUAGAAUUUCUUUAAAUUCAUGAUGUCGUAAGGGAAAAUAAUGAUAUUACCUUACUAUGAGUGUCGUCCAAAGCUGGUGCCAGAAGACUCGGUAAGACCAGAGACGCAAACGUUAAUCAUCUUAAACAGGCGUAAAGGGUUUGUAGGCAGCUUUCAUAAUAUUAUUUCUUACAAAAAUAAAGAAGUGGUCUGAUUGAAAGCUAGAAUCAAAAAGAGGUUAUAGUGUAUAACGCCUAGAGGAGGGCUGAUAUCCUUAGAUCCUAGGCAGAAUACUUAGGGCGAAGGCCACUCUCCACUAAUGAUUGACGCUGAGAAACGAAGGUAAGGGUAGGAAAUAGGAUUAGAUACCCCGGUACUCCUUUCUGUAAACGAUGAAUGGUAGUCAUUAGUAAAAUUAAAAAUUACUAGAGACGAAGUUAACACAAUAACCAUUCCGCCUUGUGAGUACUACUGCAAAGUAGAAAACAAAAAAAUUAGUCGGUCUCGAAGCAAACGGAGUGAAGCAUGUUAUUUAAUA